UUCAGAUCAUGAUUUUGAAACUUUAAAAAUGUGUGACAAAUUAAAGAAUAUCUAAGAGCAAAGGAAACGAUAUACACCAAUUGUUCUAUAAUGUAACAUGUUUUGCGAUUUCGG